AAACCAACUGGGAUUACCUUAGUAACGGCGAGUGAAGCGGUAAAAGCUCAAAUUUGAAAUCUGGUACUUUCAGUGCCCGAGUUGUAAUUUGUAGAAUUUGUCUUUGAUUAGGUCCUUGUCUAUGUUCCUUGGAACAGGACGUCAUAGAGGGUGAGAAUCCCGUUUGGCGAGGAUACCUUUUCUCUGUAAGACUUUUUCGAAGAGUCGAGUUGUUUGGGAAUGCAGCUCAAAGUGGGUGGUAAAUUCCAUCUAAAGCUAAAUAUUGGCGAGAGACCGAUAGCGAACAAGUACAGUGAUGGAAAGAUGAAAAGAACUUUGAAAAGAGAGUGAAAAAGUACGUGAAAUUGUUGAAAGGGAAGGGCAUUUGAUCAGACAUGGUGUUUUUUAAAUGUGCAAGUCUCUCGUGGACAUGUGCCUCUGGAAAUUAACACUGGGCCAACAUCAGUUCUGGCGGCAGGAUAAAUCAUUAAGAAUGUAGCUACCUCGGUAGUGUUAUAGCUUUUUGGAAUACUGCCAGCUGGG
rnacentral:rRNA from 1 species